rnacentral:rRNA from 1 species
AAAGAAGAACACGUAUGAGAGUAACUGUUCAUACGUUGACGGUAUUUAACCAGAAAGUCACGGCUAACUACGUGCCAGCAGCCGCGGUAAGUACGUAGGUGGCAAGCGUUAUCCGGAUUUAUUGGGCGUAAAGAGAGUGCAGGCGGUUUUCUAAGUCUGAUGUGAAAGCCUUCGGCUUAACCGGAGAAGUGCAUCGGAAACUGGAUAACUUGAGUGCAGAAGAGGGUAGUGGAACUCCAUGUGUAGCGGUGGAAUGCGUAGAUAUAUGGAAGAACACCAGUGGCGAAGGCGGCUACCUGGUCUGCAACUGACGCUGAGACUCGAAAGCAUGGGUAGCGAACAGGAUUAGAUACCCUGGUAG